GGCCCGUUCGUCUAGUGGUCAGGACGCCUGGUUCUCAACCAGGCAAUAGGGGUUCGACUCCCCUACGGGUCA
rnacentral:tRNA from 1 species